AAACAGCUUAGGAUAUAGGCUGAUGACAGUAUGAAAGCUGUUUGGAGCUGUAAAUACGGAUUUUUUCCUCACUGCUUUUCCCCCGUUUACAUGCGUAUUGAUCUUGAUGAGAAAGCUCACUCAGAGAAGUAGUCAAGAAAGCAAUAUAUUGAAAAUAAAGCCAUGUAUGUAGCAAGGAAGGUAUUCAAGGUGCCCACUUUGAUGACUUGUACUCGUGCCUUUGAUCCCCACUGUAGAAAAUGCUCUGCUCCAUUUCAAAAGAGAUUGCCUUGUGCCCCAUUUGUUGGCCUUUGGAUCAAACCAGCAACAGACCUCACAGAUAGAAUUCCACCAUUAGCCAUUCACAAAGAGGGCCUUAUAAUGUUUCUCAGAGUUUUUUGA
ensembl:lncRNA